AUUGAACGCUGGCGGCAGGCUUAACACAUGCAAGUCGAGCGAGCGGCGGAUGGGUGAGUAAUGUCUGGGAAACUGCCUGAUGGAGGGGGAUAACUACUGGAAACGGUAGCUAAUACCGCAUACCAUCAGAUGUGCCCAGAUGGGAUUAGCUAGUAGGUGGGGUAAUGGCUCACCUAGGCCACGAUCCCUAGCUGGUCUGAGAGGGUGACCAGCCACACUGGAACUGAGACACGGUCCAGACUCCUACGGGAGGCAGCAGUGGGGAAUAUUGGACAAUGGGCGGAAGCCUGACGCAGCCAUGCCGCGUGUGUGAAGAAGGCUUUCGGGUUGUAAAGCACUGUCGGCGAGGAGGCGUUACUCGCAGAAGAAGCACCGGCUAACUCCGUGCCAGCAGCCGCGGUAAUAC
rnacentral:rRNA from 1 species